rnacentral:rRNA from 1 species
CAAUAGCAUAUAUUAACGUUGUUGCAGUUGAAAAGCUCGUAGUUGAACUUUUGGUAGGAGCGACCUGGCCUUGGGCGCAUGCCCUUGUUUGCCGUGUGUCGUGUCUGGCCAUCCUUUUCUUCUUUUUGGAAGGAAUCUUUUACUGUGAGUAAACUGGAGUGCUCAAAACAAGACGUUUGUUUGGUACAUUAAAGCAUGGAAUAAUAAGAUAGGACCUGGUUACUAUUUUGUUGGUUUGCAUAGCUAGGUAAUGAUUAACAGGGACAGUUGGGGGUAUUCGUAUUUAAUUGUCAGAGGUGAAAUUCUUGGAUUUAUGAAAGACGAACGACUGCGAAAGCAUUUACCAAGGAUGUUUNCAUUG